AAAUAUUGGAUUGUAGGACUGAAGUCAUGGAGAACCAACAAUUGCAAGGAACCCUCUACUGCAGACUGAAGUCAUUGCGUAAGCUGGACAAAUUUCAAAUUCACCAGUUAUACCUUGUUAUGCUUCCUAAUUAUAGUAAGGUUGAUUGGAGGAAUGUGAUGCUCACUGCAAAUGUACAGCCAAGACAUAGGUUUACAGUGUGGCUAGCAGCCCAACACAGAUUACCUACCAUUGAAAGAUUGCACAAGAUUGGAGUUGAUAUACCUACUACAUGUGCUUUCUGUAAAACACAAGAUGAAAGAUUUGAACACCUUUUCUUUGCAUGUCCAGUCACUAACAGAUUAUGGCUUAGAAUCUGUCACUGGAUGGGAUACCAGCGAGCAGUUAACACUUGGGAGGAUGAGCUGCAGUGGAUAUGCAGCAAGGCUAAAAGUAAAAACUGGCAGCAGGCAAUCACUGCAUAUACCAGCGAGCAGUUAACACUUGGGAGGAUGAAUUGCAGUGGAUAUGCAGCAAGGUUAAAAGUAAACACUGGCAGCAGGCAAUCACUGCAACUGCUUUUGUUACUACUGUUGCAUUGAUAUGGAGGAACA
rnacentral:lncRNA from 1 species